UGGGGCCUCUAUUGGGUCUACUCUUGCUCAUUUUUUUAGGGCCCAUACUUUAUAACAAAAUCGUGGCCUUCCUAAAAGCCCAAAUCGAGGCAAUAAAAACAGCGCCCAUACAGGUCCAUUAUAAUCGGUUAGCCAUGGCUGAUCAGGAUGAGUACCUGGUGAGAGGGCUGGUAAGCCAAUGACAGGCAACUGAGCAAGCGUGCCAUGCUAUGAAAAAGGCCCUCGUGCGCCGCCUAAGACAGGUGCCAGAGCUUUAAUUCUCUGGUUAACCGAGGACGGGUAAGGUGCACGGUGCAGACACGUUUGUUGCUCUGACCCAAGACAGGCUCAGCCCCCGCAGGCUUGGCUCUCCUGACGCCUUUCUUCUAAUUAUAAUUUUAAAGGGAGGACCUGUGGGGGGGCCUUGGCCCCCCCCGCUGGAAUUCUUGAGUGCCUAUUACGGACAUGCCCGGGCUUGUUGCAGAUCUACCCGGCAACAAGGAAGUAGCCCCAGUGCCCUCCCCUUGCUCCUCCCCUCUCGCUCUACAGUAUAUAUGUUGUAGCAGCUCCUGCAAUAAACGAGACUUGAUCAGAAACCUGUCUUGUCUCCAUCUCUCGUGUCCCCUGUCCCCUCUCAUCCUCGCUCCCCCUCUAGGGUCUCCGUUGACUUACCCGCGGGCCGGGACAACGGGCGAAACCUCUCCCCCCACGUUAUUAAGGUGAGACCUGGCAUGAGAAGAAGGCUUGUAGGAAAACUGAAGUGCAAGCUGCCAGAUCAAACUGAAGAGGGACUUUGCCUUGCAGUAUCCAGCUCUCACUCUCCAGAGACUGUUAAAGCGUGCAAAGCGGAGGAUCUGCAGAACUCCUCAAGUUUCGCUGCAUGGAGGGAGGUGCACGGCCCCGGAAGCAGCGCAGGUCUCUGGCUCUGAACAUCCCGAAGAUGGUGGGGCUCAGGGAUGCUUCCGCGCCUGGCGACGCUUCGUCUGGGGACAAGAAAAAAGAAACGAUGGGUCCACCACAGACUUUUACGUGGGAGCAGACAGCGUCUCAUUAAAAAGCACAGGGAAAAGUGCUGAUGCAAAUCCUUCCUUUUGGGGAAGCUGAUUCUGUCACAGAGCAAAGACCGGCAAAGGUCGGCACACAGGCGGUUAUCGGGAAGACUGCGCGCGAGUGUGACGCGCCUGAGCAUUGUCAGGCCCAGGACUCGGCGUUUGAUCCCCCUGACCAUUCUGGACAAGUGGCCCAUUUCCCGUUUGUGAAGUGACUCGUUUCACGGGAACACUCCCGGUUUGAGGCCUUGACGGUUCGGCCUCUCCCAAGGCGUGGGGUGAACAGGAAGGUGGGGUGCUCAGGCCACGACGGCCCGGCUCGGGUCUCUGAGGACAGGACCGACCGAGGCAACCGCAGGACCCAGCCUCUGUCACCGGCCUCCAGGGGGCGCUCGUCAGCACAAGGUGAUGCUUGCCGCCGACACCCAGUGUG
rnacentral:lncRNA from 1 species